rnacentral:rRNA from 1 species
UACGUAGGUGGCAAGCGUUGUCCGGAUUUACUGGGCGUAAGGAGCGCGCAGGCGGUCGUGCAAGUCGCGUGUGAAAGCCCCCGGCUCAACUGGGGAGGGUCACGCGAUACUGCUCGACUCGAAGGCAGGAGAGGGAAGUGGAAUUCCCGGUGUAGUGGUGAAAUGCGUAGAUAUCGGAAGGAACACCAGUGGCGAAGGCGACUUCCUGGACAGAUACUGACACUGAGGCACGAAAGCAUGGGGAGCAAACAGG